rnacentral:rRNA from 1 species
UACGUAGGGUGCAAGCGUUGUCCGGAAUUAUUGGGCGUAAAGAGCUCGUAGGCGGUUCGUCGCGUCGGCUGUGAAAUCCCGAGGCUCAACCUCGGGUCUGCAGUCGAUACGGGCGGACUGGAGUUCGGCAGGGGAGACUGGAAUUCCUGGUGUAGCGGUGAAAUGCGCAGAUAUCAGGAGGAACACCGGUGGCGAAAGCGGCUCUCUGGCCCGGUUCUGACGCUGAGGCGCGAAAGCGUGGGGAGCAAACAGG